rnacentral:rRNA from 1 species
UAGUCCACGCAGUAAACGAUGUUAACUAGGUGGUGGGGAUAUUAAAAUUUUCACUGCCGGAGCAAAAGCAUUAAGUAAUCCACCUGGGGAGUACGAUCGCAAGAUUGAAACUCAAAGGAAUUGACGGGGGCCCGCACAAGCGGAGGAACAUGUGGUUUAAUUCGAUGAUACGCGAGGAACCUUACCUGGGCUUAAAUGCAGAACGACGGAUCGGGAAAUUGAUCUUUCUUCGGACGGACUGCAAGGUGCUGCAUGGCUGUCGUCAGCUCGUGCCGUGAGGUGUCGGGUUAAGUCCCAUAACGAGCGCAACCCUCAUCAUUAGUUGCCAGCGAGUAAUGUCGGGGACUCUAAUGAAACUGCCGGUGUAAACCGAGAGGAAGGUGGGGAUGACGUCAAGUCAGCACGGCCCUUAUGUCCAGGGGCUACACACGUGUUACAAUGGGUCGGUAC